rnacentral:rRNA from 1 species
CCUUGUACACACCGCCCGUCACGCCAUGGAAGUUGGCAGUACCCGAAGUCGGUAUCCUAAUCCUUUACGGGAAAGGCACCGCCGAAGGUAAGGCUGAUGACUGGGGCG